GACGAACGCUGGCGGCGUGCUUAACACAUGCAAGUCGAACGGAAAGGCCCUGCUUUUGUGGGGUGCUCGAGUGGCGAACGGGUGAGUAACACGUGAGUAACCUGCCCUUGACUUUGGGGUAACUUCAGGAAACUGGGGCUAAUACCGGAUAGGAGCUCCUGCUGCAUGGUGGGGGUUGGAAAGUUUCGGCGGUUGGGGAUGGACUCGCGGCUUAUCAGCUUGUUGGUGGGGUAGUGGCUUACCAAGGCUUUGACGGGUAGCCGGCCUGAGCGGGUGACCGGCCACAUUGGGACUGAGAUACGGCCCAGACUCCUACGGGAGGCAGCAGUGGGGAAUAUUGCACAAUGGGCGGAAGCCUGAUGCAGCAACGCCGCGUGCGGGAUGACGGCCUUCGGGUUGUAAACCGCUUUCGCCUGUGACGAAGCGUGAGUGACGGUAAUGGGUAAAGAAGCACCGGCUAACUACGUG
rnacentral:rRNA from 1 species